rnacentral:lncRNA from 1 species
UUGAAUGUUUGAUCAACAUACAUCAUGUAUCCUUAAAAACAGAUAAAUAAAAGAAAAAGAAAAUUUCAGAUCAGAAAAUGCUCCACUCUUCUAAAGUCCAGCUUCCCAGGGUACUUUUCAUGCUUAUAAAAUUUCCUUAAUUUCCAAACAAGAAUUCUCUAAAUUAACACAUUUAUAAUGAAUUUAGCAUUUUGCCUUAAAGCAGGAAUAUUUCAGCUUCUUCACUUGCUAGCUUCUUUCAUCU